CCUGGCAACCGUAGGUGACUAUGAGAAGCUGGGUUAUACGCACUUCCACGAUAGACAACUAUGUUGUCAUAAAAUACAGCCAUGACACCCAAUGUGUGAAAUGGUGGUGAAGAAAAUAAGUGGAAGAGCUAUGCUUU
rnacentral:ncRNA from 1 species